rnacentral:lncRNA from 1 species
GUGGGGCAAUCGACCAGAGCAGAGAAGAGGGGGUGUAAAACCCUAGACUCAACAAAACCUUCAAAUUGAAAGGGAAAUCGAAGACCGAAUUCGGGUUUGAAUAUAAUUAGCGAUCACCAAGUCAUGGAGAUCACAAGGUGGAGGCUUGGGAAAGAAGCGGGUCAAACGGAUCGAGUACGCGAAAAAGAGCAUAACCGGAUGCAAGGUAAGUGAAACUUACACCUUUUUGUAGAAUACGUGUUUAUUCUAUAAGUUGCAAAUACGAUAAGGAUAAAAUUCAAGAUAUGGUUUCAGACACGAAAUAAUAUGGAUCGGAACUAAUAUAAAUGAUAAAAACCAUGUUGAAUGGUAAAUAGAGGUAAAACAGUGAAUUAGCCAUGAAAAGGCUAAGGUAAAAAUGAGUUUUCGAACGGCUAAUUUGUGAGUAAGCCUAAACGAAUAAAAAGUGUAGAACGGUGAUUUAGUCAAGUAUAAAUGAAUCAAAGUCCAUGUUUUAACGACACCAAAUGGCAUAAGCCAUGUUGGAUAAACGCGUAAGAAACGGAUUUAAGAAACCUAAACAAAUUAGCGAAAAAUUCGAAAUGAGUUACUUAAUGAUAUGGUAAAAAAAAUUACCAUUCGAUUAUAAGCACAAAAUAUUUGGUCGUUUAGACCAAAUGGGUCAAAUGGUAACGUUGAUACCAUUUGACAAUUAACGACUAAUAAGCGUUUGUUGAGAUAUACGCUCACAGGAUAAGACGGCUUAUGGAUUAGUGAUGCAAUGGAUUAGCAACCUUGAGACAAUGUAUUAAAACGGGUCAAUAUGUUGACCCGAGCCAGGUAUGCAUAUGUGGACUUAUAGUUAAAAGUGCAAAGAGGGUCAAAUAUUUAGUCGAAGUCCUUCAUCGCAAAAAUGAAGGAUUAAAUAUGACCAAAAAGGCCCUUGAUAGGUAAACCGGGUAAACGACCCUUAGAGUUUGUUUAGAAACUUAUAUUAUGACUUUGUAACCCUUAGAUGUGUAUAAAAGUUCUAAGCAAAAACAUGUGUGGGUCGAAUGCCUAGAAAUAGUCAAUUGCGAAAAAGGACUAGCCGAAGGGUAAAAUUGGGAUUUUGGUUUCCUUAUGUUAAAUCCACCACAAAAAUAAUUGUGGUGGAAGAUAAGUAGUUAUUUAGCAAGAAAAGACGAGGUGCAAAAAGAAAAUAGCGAGUUUGAUGCUUAGAUGCUUAAAAGUCCCCAUAUACGGGUCAAAAUAGACUAAGAAGUAAAUUGUGGUUAAAUGCUUAGAUAGAUACAAAUGAAUCGGUGAAUGUAAACGCCUACGUAAACUCUAUGAUGGGAGCGAGAACGUUAAGGUUUGACAAGCCCGGGAUGGGUAAAAAUGAUAGGAAUUAACUAUUUUUCUAGAGCAUGUAGUGAGAUGAUAAUGCCAAACGGGUCGAAUAAUCACCUAAAGGAUUUAUGAGCCAAUAGUGGAUAAAUCAGAUUUUUUAUGCAAACCAAGGUGAUAAACGGGUCCGUAAUUUAAUUAUGGACGCAUAGGAAAAAGAAUCGUGUAAAACGGAUUUGUGAAUUGAAAGUUAUGCACGUUUUUGUGUAACUUAAACUUGCGAGAAGUUGCUGCAGUUCAGCAACAAACAUUCUGGACAAAACAUGGGGUCGCGCCACGCGACAACAAAAGCAAGGAGCCGUCGCGCGACGCGAUGGGUUCCAAAAUUUGAAAAAUGUUUAUUUUAAUAUUAUAUGCAUUGCGAACCCGUUUAAAUACGUUUUAAGCUAUGUAUGACUAAUCCAACUCAUGCUUUAUGAGCUGUACGAUCAAGCUCAAUGAAGAACCGAACAUGAUCAAGAAACAAGCUUCCGCACGUCGCUACUGAGUUUUUUUUUACGACAACUCAAUUAGACUAUGUUGUAUAACUUUUAAAUUGUGAAAGUUUUAAUAAACUCGUAUU